UACGUAGGGGGCAAGCGUUGUCCGGAAUUAUUGGGCGUAAAGCGCGCGCAGGCGGUCAUUUAAGUCUGGUGUUUAAUCCCGGGGCUCAACCCCGGAUCGCACUGGAAACUGGGUGACUUGAGUGCAGAAGAGGAGAGUGGAAUUCCACGUGUAGCGGUGAAAUGCGUAGAUAUGUGGAGGAACACCAGUGGCGAAGGCGACUUUCUGGUCUGUAACUGACACUGAGGCGCGAAAGCGUGGGGAGCAAACAGG
rnacentral:rRNA from 1 species